rnacentral:rRNA from 1 species
GAGGAAAAGAAACCAACAGGGAUUGCCUCAGUAACGGCGAGCGAAGCGGCAAAAGCUCAAAUUUGAAAUCUGGCUCUUUCAGAGUCCGAGUUGUAAUUUGAAGAAGGCAUCUUUGGUAGUGGCUCUUGCAUAUGUUCCUUGGAAUAGGACGUCAUAGAGGGUGAGAACCCCGUAUAUGGUGAGAUGCUCCACUGCUAUGUAAAGGGCUUUCUAAGAGUCGAGUUGUUUGGGAAUGCAGCUCUAAGUGGGUGGUAAAUUCCAUCUAAGGCUAAAUAUAGGCGAGAGACCGAUAGCGAACAAGUACAGUGAUGGAAAGAUGAAAAGAACUUUGAAAAGAGAGUGAAAAAGUACGUGAAAUUGCUGAAAGGGAAGGGCUUGACAUCAGACUCGGUUUGUAAUGAUCAGCUGUCUCUUGGGACUGUGCACUCGUUACUUACUGGGCCAACAUCAGUUUUGGCGGUAGGAUAAUUGCAGUUGAAUGUGACUUUGCUUCGGUGAAGUGUUAUAGCUUCUGUAGAUACUACCAGCUGGGACUGAGGACCGCGCUUUAUGCUAGGAUGUUGGCGUAAUGAUGUUAAGCCACCCGU